CGACCGCUGGCGGCAUGCCUAACACAUGCAAGUCGAACGAGACCUUCGGGUCUAGUGGCGCACGGGUGCGUACCGCGUGGGAACCUGCCCUUAGGUUCGGAAUAACUCCCCGAAAGGGGUGCUAAUACCGGAUAAUGUCUUCGGACCAAAGAUUUAUCGCCUUUGGAUGGGCCCGCGUUGGAUUAGCUAGUUGGUAGGGUAAAAGCCUACCAAGGCGACGAUCCAUAGCUGGUCUGAGAGGAUGAUCAGCCACACUGGGACUGAGACACGGCCCAGACUCCUACGGGAGGCAGCAGUGGGGAAUAUUGGACAAUGGGCGAAAGCCUGAUCCAGCAAUGCCGCGUGAGUGAUGAAGGCCUUAGGGUUGUAAAGCUCUUUUACCCGGGAUGAUAAUGACAGUACCGGGAGAAUAAGCUCCGGCUAACUCCGUG
rnacentral:rRNA from 1 species